rnacentral:rRNA from 1 species
GACGAACGCUGGCGGCGUGCCUAAUACAUGCAAGUAGAACGCACAGUUUAUACCGUAGCUUGCUACACCAUAGACUGUGAGUUGCGAACGGGUGAGUAACGCGUAGGUAACCUGCCUGGUAGCGGGGGAUAACUAUUGGAAACGAUAGCUAAUACCGCAUAAUAUUAAUUAUUGCAUGAUAAUUAAUUGAAAGGUGCAAUUGCACCACUACCAGAUGGACCUGCGUUGUAUUAGCUAGUAGGUGAGGUAACGGCUCACCUAGGCGACGAUACAUAGCCGACCUGAGAGGGUGAUCGGCCACGCUGGGACUGAGACACGGCCCAGACUCCUACGGGAGGCAGCAGUAGGGAAUCUUCGGCAAUGGACGAAAGUCUGACCGAGCAACGCCGCGUGAGUGAAGAAGGUUUUCGGAUCGUAAAGCUCUGUUGUAAGAGAAGAACGGGUGUGAGAGUGGAAAGUUCACACUGUGACGGUAUCUUACCAGAAAGGGACGGCUAACUACGUG